rnacentral:lncRNA from 1 species
UACCUAACAUUUGGAAGGCAGAAGUAAGUUGGAGGUGAUUUUCCUGCUGCUCUAGGCUGUUUUGUGGACUCAUAUGUCCCCCCGCUGCAGUAUGCUUGUUUUAAGUAUCCUGCCUUGGAGCUAUCACGUGACAUUGCAGAUGCAGAUCUCUCAUCUGAACCCUGUUUCUGGGUACUUGCUGUUCCUGCUGGUGAUAGAAGUGAUCUUUCAUGUAUCAGUAAUGGCCUCUGGCCUUGAAGUCCUCUGUGGCAGACAGAACAGUGGCCUUUUGAAGAUGUCCAUGUCUAUUCCCUAGAAACAGUUCUGGAGGCUGGGAAGUUCAAAAGCAUGGUGCUGGCAUCCUGCCUGGCAUCUCAGCCCCUAAAAUGGUUUCUGUGGUCCUCAGUCACCAAGCCCUGUGGGGUGAACCUGUGCCAGCAUGCCUCAUUUCUUUAUACCAGCAGACGUUGAGUCUCCCUGAGCAAGGUCUCCUUUGAGCCAGCUGAAACAGAGCUGCUGAAGUCCCCUUGGAAGCGAUCAGCAGGCAAGCCCAAAGAAGUAGUUCCAUCUAUUGCAAGCAAGGCUGGGAUUCCCUGGACUACAGCAGAUGACCACACUUUUGAUUGUUAUCAGUUCUGGAGGCUGAAAGGUCCUGGAUAGGGAUGUUGGUAGGGUUGAUUUCUUCUAAGGCCUCUCUGCUUGUAGAUGGCUACCCUCUCCUUCCUGUGUCUUUACAGGAUCUUCCCUCUGUCUGUGCCCAAAUUAUAUCUUCUUAUAAGAACACCAGUCAU